ACCCGNUGAACUUAAGCAUAUCAAUAAGCGGAGGACAAGAAACCAACAGGGAUUGCCUCAGUAACGGCGAGUGAAGCGGCAACAGCUCAAAUUUGAAAUCUGGCCUCGCGGUCCGAGUUGUAAUUUGCAGAGGACGUCUCGGGCGCGACGCCGGUCGAAGUUCCUUGGAACANGACGUCACAGAGGGUGAGAAUCCCGUACGUGACCGGCGAUCANCCCCACGCGAGACCCCUUCGACNAGUCGAGUUGUUUGNGAAUGCAGCUCUAAAUGGGUGGUAAAUUUCAUCUAAAGCUAAAUACCGGCCAGAGACCGAUAGCGCACAAGUAGAGUGAUCGAAAGAUGAAAAGCACUUUGGAAAGA
rnacentral:rRNA from 1 species